CCUAAGGCGAGGCCGAAAGGCGUAGUCGAUGGGAAACGGGUUAAUAUUCCCGUACUUGGUGUUACUGCGAAGGGGGGACGGAGAAGGCUAUGUUGGCCGGGCGACGGUAGUCCCGGUUUAAGCGUGUAGGCUGGUUUUCCAGGCAAAUCCGGAAAAUCAAGGCUGAGGCGUGAUGACGAGGCACCACGGUGCUGAAGCAACAAAUGCCCUGCUUCCAGGAAAAGCCUCUAAGCAUCAGGUAACAUCAAAUCGUACCCCAAACCGACACAGGUGGUCAGGUAGAGAAUACCAAGGCGCUUGAGAGAACUCGGGUGAAGGAACUAGGCAAAAUGGUGCCGUAACUUCGGGAGAAGGCACGCUGACACGUAGGUGAAGUGAUUUACUCAUGGAGCUGAAGUCAGUCGAAGAUACCAGCUGGCUGCAACUGUUUAUUAAAAACACAGCACUGUGCAAACACGAAAGUGGACGUAUACGGUGUGACGCCUGCCCGGUGCCGGAAGGUUAAUUGAUGGGGUCAGCGCAAGCGAAGCUCCUGAUCGAAGCCCCGGUAAACGGCGGCCGUAACUAUAACGGUCCUAAGGUAGCGAAAUUCCUUGUCGGGUAAGUUCCGACCUGCACGAAUGGCGUAAUGAUGGCCAGGCUGUCUCCACCCGAGACUCAGUGAAAUUGAACUCGCUGUGAAGAUGCAGUGUACCCGCGGCAAGACGGAAAGACCCCGUGAACCUUUACUAUAGCUUGACACUGAACAUUGAGCCUUGAUGUGUAGGAUAGGUGGGAGGCUUUGAAGCGUGGACGCCAGUCUGCGUGGAGCCGACCUUGAAAUACCACCCUUUAAUGUUUGAUGUUCUAACGUGGACCCGUAAUCCGGGUUGCGGACAGUGUCUGGUGGGUAGUUUGACUGGGGCGGUCUCCUCCUAAAGAGUAACGGAGGAGCACGAAGGUUGGCUAAUCCUGGUCGGACAUCAGGAGGUUAGUGCAAUGGCAUAAGCCAGCUUGACUGCGAGCGUGACGGCGCGAGCAGGUGCGAAAGCAGGUCAUAGUGAUCCGGUGGUUCUGAAUGGAAGGGCCAUCGCUCAACGGAUAAAAGGUACUCCGGGGAUAACAGGCUGAUACCGCCCAAGAGUUCAUAUCGACGGCGGUGUUUGGCACCUCGAUGUCGGCUCAUCACAUCCUGGGGCUGAAGUAGGUCCCAAGGGUAUGGCUGUUCGCCAUUUAAAGUGGUACGCGAGCUGGGUUUAGAACGUCGUGAGACAGUUCGGUCCCUAUCUGCCGUGGGCGCUGGAAGACUGAGGGGGGCUGCUCCUAGUACGAGAGGACCGGAGUGGACGCAUCACUGGUGUUCGGGUUGUCAUGCCAAUGGCACUGCCCGGUAGCUAAAUGCGGAAAAGAUAAGUGCUGAAAGCAUCUAAGCACGAAACUUGCCCCGAGAUGAGUCUUCCCUGAGACUUUGAGUCUCCUGAAGGAACGUUAAAGACGAUGACGUUGAUAGGCCGGGUGUGUAAGCGCAGCGAUGCGUUGAGCUAACCGGUACUAAUGAACCGUGAGG
rnacentral:rRNA from 1 species